UUGCCAGCCCGCUCAGAACUCAAGGAAUUGACGGGGCCGCACGAAGCGGUGGAGCAUGUGGUUUAAUUCGACGCAACGCGAAGAACCUUACCUGGGCUUGACAUCCUUUGACAGUCCUGGAAACAGGAUUUUCCCGACUCUGUCGGGACAGAGUGACAGGUGCUGCAUGGCUGUCGUCAGCUCGUGUCGUGAGAUGUUGGGUUAAGUCCCGCAACGAGCGCAACCCUUGUCUUUAGUUGCCCAUAUUAAGUUAGGCACUCUAAAGAGACUGCCUCGGUUAACGGGGAGGAAGGUGGGGAUGACGUCAAGUCCUCAUGGCCUUUAUGCCCAGGGCUACACACGUGCUACAAUGGGCGGUACAAUGGGCUGCAACGCCGCGAGGCGAAGCCAAUCCCAAAAAGCCGUUCUCAGUUCGGAUUGGAGUCUGCAACUCGACUCCAUGAAGUCGGAAUCGCUAGUAAUCGUGGAUCAGCAUGCCACGGUGAAUACGUUCCCGGGCCUU
rnacentral:rRNA from 1 species